GCGGGCGGCGCUAGGGCGCAUGUGCGAGCCGUCCGGCCACUCCCACCCCGCCCCCGCCGGGAGGGUGCGAGCCCGUCUAGAGUGGUGGGGGACUGAGAUGGGAUGCCACAGUCUGCCUGCUCUGUAGCCUGGGCUGCUGUCAAUCUUGAGAUCUUCCAGCCACAGCCUCAAGUGCUGAGAAACCGGGUAGGGCUGUAAGCAUCUAAAACAAGGUAGCUCUGACUGGCCUGGAACUCGCCGAGGCUGGGCUGGAACUCACAGCGACCCUCUGCUUCUGCCUCCCACGCUGUUGUUAACUAACGGGCCCUCCGUUAGCUCAUCCCAGGAAAU
rnacentral:lncRNA from 1 species